rnacentral:rRNA from 1 species
AAGCUCGUAGUUGAAUUUCGGGAUCAAUGUUUCGGUCAUGCCGUUGGUAUGUACUGAUAUUAUUGAUUACUCACCUUCUAAAGAACCGUAAUGCCAUUAAUUUGGUGUCACGGGGAAUUAGGACUGUUACCUUGAAAAAAUUAGAGUGUUUAAAGCAGGCUCACGCUUGAAUACAUUAGCAUGGAAUAAUGAAAUAGGACAUCCGAUUCUAUUUUGUUGGUUUCUAGGAUCGAUGUAAUGAUUAAUAGGGAUAGUUGGG